rnacentral:lncRNA from 1 species
UAACGGCAUUUGACGAAUGCAUGAAAAAAAAUAGAAGCCUUUAAAAAAAAUAUUAAAAGGGCUUCAACAAAGAAGAAUCUGCAAUCGUCAAGGAGCCACACACUGACGAAACUACAAGUGGACUCUGCCAUUGCCCAAGGCUCGUUGCUCUUCAUCGACCUCAUGGGGGUCGAAACAAUGGAUGACGUUUCAGGUACGGCGUCAACCCAGGAGGAGAUGAAGAGCGGGAGCAAAACACUCAUUUUUGAGAGCGUUUCUCAUGGAUAUGGCCAGCAAGGGUUCCAGCACAACGUACAGGAAUAGUGCUCUGACACAGUACUUACAUGAGGAAAUGAAGAGAAUGCCACAAAUUAAAAUGCUCUACUUCAUCAAACCCACAAAAUCAUCUAAACGAAUAACUAGAUAUUUUAGAGUUUUCAAAAACACUCCAAAAAUAACAAGGUAAGUUAACCCCACCUGCCCCCCCCCCCCCUCUUCCUGACAACAACUUCCACCACUGACACCUCCUGCUCCCAUGAAAAUAACUACCACCACCUGUAACACUAUUUUUGGAUGGGCAGUUUAUCAUUAACUUCAUUUAAAUCCAAAGGUAAUAUCUGAAUAAGUGGUGUAUGAAAAGUACUUAGCUGUCUAUAGAUUAAUAUAUGUAAAAAAAUAUUUUUUAGAUAAAGAAUUAUUUUGUUAAUUUCUUUUCAGGGUUCCAGCACCGCAUACAGAAAUAGUCCUCUGACAGUAUACCUGCAUGAGGAAAUGAGAGUGUCACAAAUUAAGAUGCUCUAUUUUAUCAAACCUACAACAUUAUCUAGACGAAUAACUCUAGAUAUUUUAGAGUUUUCAAAAACACUCCAAAAAUAACAAGGUAAGUUAACCCCACCUGCCCCCCCCCCCCUCUUCCUGACAACAACUUCCACCACUGACACCUCCUGCUCCCAUGAAAAUAACUACCACCACCUGUAACACUAUUUUUGGAUGGGCAGUUUAUCAUUAACUUCAUUUAAAUCCAAAGGUAAUAUCUGAAUAAGUGGUGUAUGAAAAGUACUUAGCUGUCUAUAGAUUAAUAUAUGUAAAAAAAUAUUUUUUAGAUAAAGAAUUAUUUUGUUAAUUUCUUUUCAGGGUUCCAGCACCGCAUACAGAAAUAGUCCUCUGACAGUAUACCUGCAUGAGGAAAUGAGAGUGUCACAAAUUAAGAUGCUCUAUUUUAUCAAACCUACAACAUUAUCUAGACGAAUAACUCUAGAUAUUUUAGAGUUUUCAAAAACACUCCAAAAAUAACAAGGUAAGUUAACCC